rnacentral:lncRNA from 1 species
UUUGCGUAAAGAAUAGAUCGACUGAAGAUUGACGUAUAAGUUAUUCUAAACGCAGAUUAUCGAGCGUUUUUUUUUUUGUUAUCAAUAUAGUGUAAACAACGCAAUCAGAAGUUUUUUUUAACGCGUAUGAGUGUAUCCCUUUAAAAAGGAUUCAAGUCGUUGUAUCGAUCGAAAGUGAAAAAUACGAAGGUGACAACACAACAUGCGAUUAAAGCUUGGUUCCAGGGAAGUUCGUACAACGUCCAAGAUGUGCCCACAAAAUGGUAUGACGACGAUGAUUCCUUUAUCCAUGAUUUUGGAGCUACACUUGCAUACGGAUUAAACUAUACAGGAAUUUUUGACCGUCCAGAUUUGUUACAUAGAUACAUGACCGAUAAAAGAUUGUAAGACCAGGCAAUAUUUAAAAAUGCGCUUGCCAUUUGCAACUACUCACUGAAUUGAAAUUGACAAUGAAAAAGUAAGCUUGAUGGUUCCAUCAAAGUGAGUCUCUUAAUUUCGAUAAGAUGAUUGGAAACUUUGUAACAUUCGAAACAAUAAUACAUGCGCUAGAUAUAGGGUUGUUUUUUAUCUCAAUAUGAGUAGUGUUCCAUGUAAGAACUUUUUGUCGUCUAUAUUUUUUUUAAAAGUUUUCUGUUUCGCUAAUUUCAAACAGAUAAAUUGGAGAUUGGUUAUCAAACACGAUUUUUGUAAAAAGUGAAGUAUCAUCUCGGUUUACCAAAACAAUAGCAUGUUUCAUAUUUUCUACAAAACAGCUACUAUCAAAUCUCAUCUUAGGAUAAUAAUUCAAAUGAUUUACUGCUGUAUAGCAAAAAGUAUUAAGUUUAUAAUAGAUAAAGGUACUCACAGUUUCUUGCGAUAAAUAAUCCUUUUUCACUGUCAUACUAUUGAUGUAUAAAGUUUCGACACAUUGUGCAAUAACUUUUAUAAUACAAAUAUUGAGCAAUGCGCAUUUAAAUGUCAUAUUUAUAGGUCAGUGACAUAAAAGUUUUGCAAACGUGUUUGCACUUUUUGAUGAACCUAGGUACUUCUUGACGAAUACAGUAGUUUUGGUCAACUGCGAAGUUUUUUAAAAAUUCCAAAUUCAAUGAAAAAUCUACAGUACAGUAAAGCGAGAAAGUGGAGGAGAACAAACUUUGUAGGCACGCGUUUUUCCUCACACACUUUGCAAACAAAAUUGAUUUUCUAACAUUUCUAACAGUAAAUUUUCCUAUACUUUUUACUCAUUUUUCUGGCACACAUUACAACUGUUUGUUCGAAAAAAUUAAAAAAAAAAUUAACCUGUCGAGUUUAUCUACGUGUUUACUUGACAGUUUAUUCAAAUUUUCUAAACAACAAUGUAUAAAUAAGCUCAAUAUGUAAACUGAAAUCAAUGAACUUCCGUGAUUAAUAUUAUUUGUUUAUUCCAACAAUUUAUUUUUAUCUGAGUUUUGUAGAUGCGUUCUUGUUUUAUAACUAUCAUUGAAUUAUUUCGAACUAUUCUAUUUUCCUAGGAUGAGUGCUUGCACAACAUACAUAAUUAUAAAAUCUAUGAGCAUACAUAUAACUUAAGCGGUUUUUGAUUGCUAAAUAUAAUGUAAGUAAAUGGAUAGACCUAUUUCUAAUGCAACAGAUUUUCAAGUAUUUAUUUGUAUCUUCUCUGGUAAAAAAGUUAGCUUAUAUAAACCAAUUUCGACAACUAUCGUAGCUAAUACCGUCACGGGUUAGCUAACUUUUCA